CAACAAAUAAUUUAAGUAAAAUAUUAGUCUUGGGUAUUAAAUACGUGAUAUUAUUUCACUUUGUUGA
rnacentral:tRNA from 1 species